rnacentral:tRNA from 1 species
GGGGUUGUGGCUCAGUGGUAGAGCACUUGCCUAGCAUGUGUGAGGCAGUAGAUUCGAUUCUCAGCACCA